GACUGUGAAGAGACCUCUUGUGGAAUGUCUUGUGGGGUAUGCAUGGUGUAACUAGGAGGAGAGGCCUCAUUUAGCAUAGUAGUUUCAUCAGGUUUGAGCCAUGUUGCAGUCAGGCCAAUCACAUCAAGAUUAUGAUCAGUGAUUAGUUCAUUGACUAUGACUGCCUUGGAAGUGAGGGAUCUAACAUUAAGUAGCCCUAUUUUGAGAUGUGAGAGAUCGCAAUCUUUUUCAGAGGAAUGGAUGAGGGCCCUAUUCUAGUGAGAUUGCCAAGGUGAACAUGGCUAUAUUUAGUUUUGCCCGACCUAUAUCGAGGCACAGAAUAGGGAAAGCUGAGUGGCCUCAAUGGGGAAAGCUGAGCUGACUAUACUGACUGUGCCAGUGGCAGACUACACUAAGCUGGCAGGCUGACUAACUGCCUGCUACCUGGCCUGCACCCUAUAUCAUUUUGGAGCUAGAGGAGUUAGAACCCUGUCUAUGUUGAUAGAAAAGAUGAGAGCAAUGCUCCAGCUAGGAAUGGCCACAAUUCCUGACCACAACUACUAACCACUAGCACAUAACUACUGACCACAACUACACAUCUACUGACCUCAACCACACAACUACUGACCACAAAUACUGACCACAACUCCUGGCCACAACUACUAACCACAUCCACACAACUACUGGCCACAACAAUAUAACUAACUACUGACCAAAUCCACACUACUACUGCCCACAACUACUGACCACAACUAAUGACCACAACCACACAAUUACACAACUACUGACCAGAAAUACUGACCACAACUCCUGACCACAACUACUAACCAGAACCACACAACUACUGACCACAACUUACAACCACAUCUACGGACCACGUCCACACAACUACUGACCAUAACUACUGACCACAAAUACUGACCACAACUCCUGGCCACAACUACUAACCACAUCCACACAACUACUGGCCACAACAAUAUAACUAACUACUGACCAAAUCCACACUACUACUGCCCACAAUUCCUGACCACAACUAAUCACCACAACCACACAACUACUGAUCACAACAAAUAAUCACAAUCACUGACCACAACUACUGACCACAACCACACAACUACUGACCACAACUAAGAACCAUAAUUACUGACCACAACCACACAACUACUGAUCACAACAACACGACACCUGACCACAACAGCACAACUAAUGACCACAACUAUUAAUUUAAACCACUGACCACAAUUUGACUUGUUUCAGAAUUCUAGUCUAUGUCGCAAGUCAUGACUUCACAGGAGAGGCGUUUGAAAGCCAAGCAAGUUGUUCAAACAAAACAGAAAUGACACCGGACGUCUUAUUUAAUGAAAGGGGUUGCCGUCUGCUGUGAAGCGUUCUUCCAUGUAUGUGGCAUCAAUAGAACACUCCUGACUCUCUUCCACCAGUCAUAAAAGGAGAAUGGUCUAAUGCCUCCCAUCAAAAAGAGAGCUGGCCCAAGCAAGCACUUGUUCAGAGUAAGCGGUCUGUCAACCAGAAGAUGGUUGCUGACUGCAAGACCAACUGUCAAGACCUGCAGUUGUCUCUGGGGGCACUACUGAAUCAGUGCACUAUUCUUCUGACUCUAUGCAGCCAGAUCCCAUCUACGUGUUUGGUGUCUGCUGUGAAGGAAAGCCACAACAAGUCAACUACUUGAUUGAUGAAGGCAUGUCAUCCAGCACGGACGAUGCACAGGCAGUCAUCAACUACAUGCACCAUUUCUUCACCGACUAUGGUUAACAUCUACAUCACCAGAGGAACAGAGGAGGAGUAGGAUACGGGUACGGCUAAAGGCUAUAAGAACUGAUCUAGUGCGUUGG